AACGAACGCUGGCGGCAUGCCUAACACAUGCAAGUCGAACGAGACCUCCGGGUGUAGUGGCGCACGGGUGCGUAACGCGUGGGAACCUGACCUUAGGGUCGGACUAACUCCCCGAAAGGGGUGCUAAUACCGGAUAAUGUCUUCGGACCGAUGAUUUAUUGCCUUUGGAUGUGCCCGCGUUGCAUUAGCUAGUUGGUAAGGUAAAAGACUACUAAGGCAACGAUGCAUAGCUGACCUGAGAGGGUGAUCAGCCAAACUGGGACUGAGACACGGUCCAGACUGCUACGGGAGGCAGCAGUAGGGAAUCUUCCGCAAUGGGCGAAAGCCUGACGGAGCAACGCCGCGUGAGUGAUGAAGGUCUUCGGAGCGUAAAACUCUGCUAUUAGGGAAGAACAUAUGUGUAAGUAACUGUGCACAUCUUGACGGUACCUAAUCAGAAAGCCACGGCUAACUACGUG
rnacentral:rRNA from 1 species